rnacentral:rRNA from 1 species
CCUACGGGAGGCAGCAGUGAGGAAUAUUGGGCAAUGGACGAGAGUCUGAACCAGCCAAGUAGCGUGAAUGAUGACUGCCCUAUGGGUUGUAAACUUCUUUUAUGUGGGAGUAAAAUGUUCCACGUGUGGGAUUUUGUAUGUACCAUAUGAAUAAGGAUCGGCUAACUCCGUGCCAGCAGCCGCGGUAAUACGGAGGAUACGAGCGUUAUCCGGAUUUAUGGGGGUUAAAGGGAGCGUAGGUGGAUUGUUAAGUCAGUUGUGAAAGUUUGCGGCUCAACCGUAAAAUUGCGGUUGAAACUGGCAGUCUUGAGUACAGUAGAGGUGGGCGGAAUUCGUGGUGUAGCGGUGAAAUGCUUAGAUAUCACGAAGAACUCCGAUUGCGAAGGCAGUUCACUGGACUGCAACUGACACUGAGGCUCGAAAGUGUGGGUAUCAAACAGGAUUAGAUACCCCUGUAGUC